GCCCAAGUCGACGCACGUAUUAUUUUGAUUUAAAAAAAAAUCUAGCACCUGAAUGAGUAAUAAUAACAAUAAUUGGCAAAUCAAUAGGAGCAUUUCCAGUAAAUUAUUCAAGCUACCAAAUAAUGUUGGCCAUGCAGUUUAUAGCUAGCUAGCUACUUUGUAACAAUCGAAUGAACACAAUGUGUGUCGCGCUAACAAAAUAAUUCUGAGACCAGUACCGUACAUUUGGCAAUUUGUUUUUUUGGCUACAAAAGUAAAGAAACACAGAGCCUAAUCGCGAGCCCGGGUCGCUGAUGAGAAGCAAACACCAUCUGACAGAGAGAACAUGGAAUAAACCAUGGCCCACAAUAUAAGAUUUUUUGAAGCACAUCGGUGGUGACCAUGGAGAUGGACGGACAGCAGCACUCCUCCCCAGAGGGACAGAAGUCCCCCGCUCUUAGGCAUUUCUCUUCUGCGGAUCCCCUAAAAACAUAUGAAAACAGGCCAAAUACAAAUAAUCACAUAGGGGCUCUAAACAAACCAGGAAGUGACAAGAGGCUAAGUGACCUCCCAAACAUGGUAGCAACGACGUCACCGAUGCCUAACAGAACGGACUAUUUAAUAGUCAGCCCAACACCAUCUCAAGGAGUUGUUCUACAGGGGAGACCCUUUCAACACACCCACAAUGUUCCUGCUGCAAUGAGGAAACCUGUCCAAAGAAGAGACUACAGCACCACUCAACAGCAGAUCCAAGCAGCAGAAGUAGAGAGUAUCAUCCUCACCUGUCCAGAGAGCCCUGCCAACGACAGCGUGAGCAUCAAAGAGCACAGUCGGAGACCCUUGCUGGAGGGCUGUUGUAGCUUUCCCUCGCAGGUUCAGAGAGUGGAGCCCCUAAAUCCAGAAAGGAACCACACAGUGUGUGGGAAGUGUAGCAA
ensembl:lncRNA